rnacentral:rRNA from 1 species
UACAGAGGGUGCGAGCGUUAAUCGGAAUUACUGGGCGUAAAGCGCACGUAGGUGGCGACGUAAGUCGGGUGUGAAAGCCCCGGGCUCAACCUGGGAAUUGCAUUCGAGACUGCAUUGCUGGAGUACGGAAGAGGAGGGCGGAAUUCCCGGUGUAGCGGUGAAAUGCGUAGAUAUUGGGAAGAACACCAGUGGCGAAGGCGGCUAACUGGUCCAGCACUGACGCUGAGGUGCGAAAGCGUGGGGAGCAAACAGG